rnacentral:rRNA from 1 species
CCUACGGGGGGCAGCAGUGGGGAAUAUUGGACAAUGGGGGCAACCCUGAUCCAGCCAUGCCGCGUGUGUGAAGAAGGCCCCCGGGUUGUAAAGCACUUUCAGUGAGGAAGAACGCCUGGUGGUUAAUACCCAUCAGGAAAGACAUCACUCACAGAAGAAGCACCGGCUAACUCCGUGCCAGCAGCCGCGGUAAUACGGAGGGUGCGAGCGUUAAUCGGAAUUACUGGGCGUAAAGCGCGCGUAGGUGGCUUGAUAAGCCGGUUGUGAAAGCCCCGGGCUCAACCUGGGAACGGCAUCCGGAACUGUCAAGCUAGAGUGCAGGAGAGGAAGGUAGAAUUCCCGGUGUAGCGGUGAAAUGCGUAGAGAUCGGGAGGAAUACCAGUGGCGAAGGCGGCCUUCUGGACUGACACUGACACUGAGGUGCGAAAGCGUGGGUAGCAAACAGGAUUAGAUACCCGAGUAGUC